rnacentral:rRNA from 1 species
UGCAAGUCGAGCGGACAGAUGGGAGCUUGCUCCCUGAUGUUAGCGGCGGACGGGUGAGUAACACGUGGGUAACCUGCCUGUAAGACUGGGAUAACUCCGGGAAACCGGGGCUAAUACCGGAUGCUUGAUUGAACCGCAUGGUUCAAUUAUAAAAGGUGGCUUUUAGCUACCACUUACAGAUGGACCCGCGGCGCAUUAGCUAGUUGGUGAGGUAACGGCUCACCAAGGCAACGAUGCGUAGCCGACCUGAGAGGGUGAUCGGCCACACUGGGACUGAGACACGGCCCAGACUCCUACGGGAGGCAGCAGUAGGGAAUCUUCCGCAAUGGACGAAAGUCUGACGGAGCAACGCCGCGUGAGUGAUGAAGGUUUUCGGAUCGUAAAACUCUGUUGUUAGGGAAGAACAAGUACCGUUCGAAUAGGGCGGUACCUUGACGGUACCUAACCAGAAAGCCACGGCUAACUACGUGCCAGCAGCCGCGGUAAUACGUAGGUGGCAAGCGUUGUCCGGAAUUAUUGGGCGUAAAGCGCGCGCAGGCGGUUUCUUAAGUCUGAUGUGAAAGCCCCCGGCUCAACCGGGGAGGGUCAUUGGAAACUGGGGAACUUGAGUGCAGAAGAGGAGAGUGGAAUUCCACGUGUAGCGGUGAAAUGCGUAGAGAUGUGGAGGAACACCAGUGGCGAAGGCGACUCUCUGGUCUGUAACUGACGCUGA